rnacentral:tRNA from 1 species
GGAGAGGUGGCUGAGUGGCCGAAAGCGGCGGUCUUGAAAACCGUUGUACCGGUGACGGUACCGUGGGUUCGAAUCCUACCCUCUCCG